rnacentral:rRNA from 1 species
ACCUGCCCCAAACAAGGGGAGUAACAGUUCGAAAGGACUGCUAAUACCCUAUAUGAUCGGUUGGAUUAGAUGCCUACCGAUUAAAGGAGUAAUCCGCUUUGGGAGGGACCUGCGUCCCAUCAGCUAGUUGGUAGGGUAAUGGCCUACCAAGGCAAUGACGGGUAGGGGACCUGAGAGGGUGGACCCCCCACAAUGGCACUGAAACACGGGCCAU